GUGCUUACUUCAGCAGCACAUACAGUAAAAUUGGAAUGAUACAGAGAAGAUUAGCAUGGCUCCUGUGCAAGGAUGACAUGCAGAUUCGUGAAGAAUUCAUAUUUUAG
rfam:Tupaia chinensis contig27636, whole genome shotgun sequence.